CAAUCUGGCAAUAGUUCAUUAGUCACACGCCAUACUUGAUCUUAUUGAAGCAAAAUGGGCAGAUUUGGUAGCAGACAUGCCAUUUAAGAUAUGUUAUCCCACUCUUGAAGGUUAGAUGUGCCAAAUAAUCACUUGUAGUGAUCCUAAGAACACGUCUUGGUCUUACCACAACGGUGUUUCUUAGCCAACUCUGUUAUGGCAGGUUAGUUUGUUAUGCUUAAAUAUUCUCUCUGCUGCUAAUAUUUUGUUAAUUGCUCCAGAGAACCCUUUGUAGAAGUUAUAUUUAGGUAGAAGUUUCCUGAGUUGUCAUGCUUGAAUCCAAUAGGAUAUGGCACCUUGUUAAUGUUUUAUAAAAUAAAGCAAUAAGGAAGGAAUGUUGGUAGUGUGGCUUAAGAUUUUAAAAAUGGACUUUUUACAACUUACUAUUGCAACCAUAAAGAUGAAAAGACCAUAAAUCGCUGCAAGAACUAUUGAAGUUGCUGAAAGACGCAUAUCAAGAGACAAGUGGCCUUAAUACUAUGACACGAAAAAAGGAAGGUUGAUCAAGAAACAAGCACGGUUAUUCCAAACAUGGUCAAUUGUUGGAUACCUUAUGGCUAAGCUUCUACUUGCAGACCCAAGUGCAGCCAAAAUUCUGAUAACUGAAAAGGAUUAUGAGCUUGUCAAUGCCUUUUCUUGUAUGAUAAGUGCUAACCCCAAGAGAAAAUAUGGUUGACAGAACUCCCAAAA